CUCUCCACUGGGGCUGUAUUCCUCAAAGUCAUUGGGACAGAAGGGAACAGGAAGGGCCCGCAGCAGAGCGCAAACCGCUCACUUGCCCUGGCUUCCCUUCGUGAGUGUCUUUUCACAAAAGAUCCACUCUGGAUUUCCUGCUAGAGUCAAAAAGUGUCGCUUCUCCGCUGUUUCAGAUUCUUGAUUAGAAAACUAAAAGUCAGGUGACAUCAGAGACUGAUACCCUGGAAUGCCUGGACUUGCUCUGGUCCCUACAGGAGCAGGCCAGGGCGAGCCAGGGCUCUACAGUGAAUCCUGACUGUUUUAUCUGAACACCUGCAGGCUGGGACCGACUCCGAGGUCCUCACUGGUUUCACCCGAUCUUCUUUGGGGCUUGAAGAACUGGUGCACAGAAAUGGUGAUACUCUGGUUGCUGCUAUUUCUGAGGAUAAAAAAUCCCUUUGUCUUUGACCCAAGAGUCUCCGGUUUUCUGUUGACUCCCCCAGCAAACCCGUAGGAGCAGAAAUUGUGCCCAUGAAUGGGAAGGGUGAAGAGCUGCAGCUUCUCAGGCCCUGCAGUAGACAUUGGCUUUGCUACCAGC